rnacentral:tRNA from 89 species
UGCCAUAGCUCAGUUGGUAGAGCAAAGGACUGAAAAUCCUUGUGUCCCCGGUUCGAUUCCUGGUGGCAC